AGACUGAGUCAAGUCACCUCCUGGGUAUCAGUCUCGCAUGGACCCGCCUUGUUUUUCUUCGUACUUUUUCAAUCGUAUUUAUUAAUCAGUUUUAUGCCGCUAUGCCAUAUUUAUCAUAUCGCUAACACCCCUUAUCGGUGGAAUUUCAAAAAGUUCGUUCGUAUCCUUAGAACAUUGAAAGGCUAGAAUUAGUAAACAACAACUUUGUUUGAGUCCAACAUGUGCACAGGGGCAAGAGGGGUGUUUUAUUUACAAACAUAUGUGCCGAUUCUCUGUUGUCAAGUCGACACAAAUUUCCAACGGAGGAAAUUUUUAGCUAUAUUUUAACAAACAUUAUAACGUUAAUUUAACUUAUUUCUGUUAUAUUUUAUAGGAAAAUUUAAAAUAAAAAGUAUAAAUACUACAAUUAACCUAUUUUAAGAAUAAAUAUAAUAUCCUUAAGCAAAAAAAAAACAAAAUUAUUAACAUUCUUAUCCCUAAAACUGCUUCUAAAAAAUUUGAAGCGACAACACCGGAGCUUAAGCGCCUAAACCAUACGCGUUGUGUCAUCUGUCAAACGGCUUUUUGUUUAUAUUCGGGAUUCGUGUAUUUUCUUUAAUUUUUGGUUUAAAAAGGAAAAAAGGCCACGUUUUAGUGUUUUUUUAAAUUGCUAGGAUGGCAAAAACUUGUGUCGUUUGUGCCGCAUCAUGAUAAAAACGUGAUUCAAGCCGAUCUUUUCACAAAUUGCCCAAUGAUUAUGCCCAAAGGGAACAAUGGGUUUCAUUAAUGGAAAUCAACACAUUUAAAAAGAACAUAUUUGUUUGUUCAGAUCACAUCCUUAGAAGUGACAUAAGGGAGAUAAUAUUAUCAGUAGCCAGACUUUAUUAAAAAAAUCAGCUCUACCUCAAAGGAUUUCUGAUGCACUGGUUAAAAACACAGCAGCCAAUAAUUCAGUUAAUUUACCAAGUGAUUUACCCUUCAAAGCUACAGGGGUAGCUUUCCUGAAGAGUGCAAAAACUUCUUUAGCUUUCAAAAUGGUAUAUAGUACAAACAGUGAAGCUAAUAUAGACACAUCUGAUCAUUCAUCAUCAACAAUAACUGCAUCUGAGAAUUAUAGUUCUACAGUAACCGUGGAGUCUAGGUCAACAAUUACUAUUUCUCAUCCAAGCCGUUUUUGUUUAAGUGCUAUACAUUCCCUGACUCUGC